AUUGAACGCUGGCGGCAGGCUUAACACAUGCAAGUCGAGCGGGGUGAUGGUGCUUGCACUAUCACUUAGCGGCGGACGGGUGAGUAAUGCUUAGGAAUCUGCCUAUUAGUGGGGGACAACAUCUCGAAAGGGAUGCUAAUACCGCAUACGUCCUACGGGGGAAAGCAGGGGAUCACUUGUGACCUUGCGCUAAUAGAUGAGCCUAAGUCGGAUUAGCUAGUUGGUGGGGUAAAGGCCUACCAAGGCGACGAUCUGUAGCGGGUCUGAGAGGAUGAUCCGCCACACUGGGACUGAGACACGGCCCAGACUCCUACGGGAGGCAGCAGUGGGGAAUAUUGGACAAUGGGGGGAACCCUGAUCCAGCCAUGCCGCGUGUGUGAAGAAGGCCUUAUGGUUGUAAAGCACUUUAAGCGAGGAGGAGGCUCUUUUGGUUAAUACCCAGAAUGAGUGGACGUUACUCGCAGAAUAAGCACCGGCUAACUCUGUGCCAGCCGCCGCCAAGA
rnacentral:rRNA from 1 species